AGUGAACGCUGGCGGUAGGCCUAACACAUGCAAGUCGAACGGCAGCACAGUAAGAGCUUGCUCUUACGGGUGGCGAGUGGCGGACGGGUGUGGAAUACAUCGGAAUCUACUUUUUCGUGGGGGAUAACGUAGGGAAACUUACGCUAAUACCGCAUACGACCUACGGGUGAAAGCAGGGGAUCUUCGGACCUUGCGCGAUUGAAUGAGCCGAUGUCGGAUUAGCUAGUUGGCGGGGUAAAGGCCCACCAAGGCGACGAUCCGUAGCUGGUCUGAGAGGAUGAUCAGCCACACUGGAACUGAGACACGGUCCAGACUCCUACGGGAGGCAGCAGUGGGGAAUAUUGGACAAUGGGCGCAAGCCUGAUCCAACCAUACCGCGUGGGUGAAGAAGGCCUUCGGGUUGUAAAGCCCUUUUGUUGGGAAAGAAAAGCAGCAGGUUAAUACCCCGCUGUUCUGACGGUACCCAAAGAAUAAGCACCGGCUAACUUCGUG
rnacentral:rRNA from 1 species